UACAGAGGGUGCGAGCGUUAAUCGGAAUUACUGGGCGUAAAGCGCGCGUAGGCGGCUUUGCAAGUCGGGUGUGAAAGUCCCCAGGCUUAACCUGGGAACUGCAUUCGAGACUGCAUUGCUAGAGUAUGGGAGAGGGAAGUGGAAUUUCCGGUAGUAGCGGUGAAAUGCGUAGAUAUCGGAAGGAACAUCAGUGGCGAAAGCGACUUCCUGGACCAAUACUGACGCUCAUGUGGCGAAAGCGUGGGGAGCAAACAGG
rnacentral:rRNA from 1 species